UAGGGGAAUAGCCAAGUUGGUUAAGGCACUGGAUUUUGAUUCCAGCAUUCGAGGGUUCGAAUCCUUCUUCCCCUGA
rnacentral:tRNA from 1 species